UGCUGUGACUAUUAUAAUUAAUGGGACACUGAACUUUUUAAGUUGUGGGUCUACAGUUGCGUGCAGCCAGCUGAUUACCACCAUCAGCUGAUUAUUAUCGCCAGCUGACUCUCCCCUCUAAUGAGCGACGCAGCGCUGAAACGACUGAUGGACUGAAUUAAGAAAUAGGUGCGGAGGUGCGGCGAAGCGGGGGACACCGGCAGAUGAGGCAGCACGGCAGCAAGGUGCGGGUGGAAGGCACCGACUCCAGCAACGACAACGAAACCGAGGCGGUUGGCCGGAGAUCGAGAAGGGCUGGACCGAAGUGGUUGACGGAGUCAAUUAACGCACCAACCCAAUGGAAGCCUCCCCUGCCAGAGACGCACGCUGCUGUGGAGCCGGCUCAACGCACACCAGUGGACCGCCUCCUGGGGAAUUAAAGUCGGCUUGUGGGAGCGGUUGCCUAUUAAUGACCGGUUGCCUAUUAAUGACGCUCAGCUACUCUCGUGCAAUCUUUAGCCCUUUGAACUGCUGCUGCUCUUGCAUGCUUUUUAUGGACAAAGCUGACUGAACUUUUGGUGUGGCUCCGUGGGUUAUCUGUCUAGUUGGGGGUAUUUAUUAUUACUGUACGAGGGAAAUAACUAGUGGUGUUUUUUAUUAUAUGUUUUUGCUGGGCAUUUUUAAUCUUCUUUUUUUGUAGGCUAAUAGUAAUAAAAUUUGAAAAUGGA